rfam:Bacillus sp. OV166 genome assembly, contig: Ga0115450_11
UACAAGCUGCGUUGUUCGUAGUCAUAAUAAAGUUUUAACCUUUAAGCUGUAAAAGGGAGUUUAACCAUUGGAGCUCGAAUGACAAGCCUCUGUCUAUAAGACCUGGAGGACAUGCAGAAAAGUUUCUGAGAACACCCACUUUGAGGAGUGGUGGUUUAAAACUUUCUUAUAUUAAUACGGCAAAUGCGGCUACAUA